rnacentral:rRNA from 1 species
CGGCGGACGGGUGAGUAACACGUGGGUAACCUACCUAUAAGACUGGGACAACUUCGGGAAACCGGAGCUAAUACCGGAUAAGAUAUCGAACCGCAUGGUUCGAUAGUGAAAGANGGUUUUGCUAUCACUUAUAGAUGGACCCGCGCCGUAUUAGCUAGUUGGUGAGGUAACGGCUCACCAAGGCAACGAUACGUAGCCGACCUGAGAGGGUGAUCGGCCACACUGGAACUGAGACACGGUCCAGACUCCUACGGGAGGCAGCAGAG